UACGAAGGGUGCAAACGUUGCUCGGAAUUAUUGGGCGUAAAGGGCGCGUAGGCGGCCUGGCAAGUGGAAGGUGAAAUCCCUCGGCUUAACCGAGGAACUGCCCUCCAAACUGCUUGGCUUGAGUCCGGGAGAGGUGAGUGGAAUUCCCAGUGUAGCGGUGAAAUGCGUAGAUAUUGGGAGGAACACCAGUGGCGAAGGCGGCUCACUGGACCGGAACUGACGCUAAGGCGCGAAAGCGUGGGGAGCAAACGGG
rnacentral:rRNA from 1 species